GCAUGAUAUGGGGAAAGUAGGAAGAAACUGAAAACUCUAAACUCCCCGAGUUCUCAAGUUCUCCUUGCUAUGGAGAAAGCCAUGCACCAUCCUCCUUCAAUGCCUCUGCCCUCUAUCAUCCCUGACUGAAAAACAACAGAUCACACAAUUUUCAAUGAUUCCAUUUGGACAGGAGUUUCCUGAAAGCAUAGCACUUGUUUCUGGGCUAAAUCCACCCUGCCCUCCACACUAUACUACCUCUGUGGACACCAGGAUUGUCCUGAUCUAUAGGAACUAGUAAAGAAGGAGGUAACUUAUGCACUGAAAUAGGUUCAGGAUCUUGCCAAUUAAGAGGCUUAUACAUAUUGAUGAGCAUAGAUUCUAAAAGUAUUACAUUAAGUACGAUGAAAUUUAAUAUUAAAACAACUGGGUUCAUUGACGCUAGACUCAACAUUUUAUUUCUGAUAUCUGGCAGCAUCUCUAACAGCUUGCAUGGAUCAUUCAUUGAAGAGACGUUUCAGAAAGAUUCCUAACUUCCUUUCUCCUUUAUUUAAAUUUGUUUCAUAUUCCUUGUAUCUCAGGGAGACACCUGCCACUGACACAGACCUUGGCAUGCACUGUAUACUCAAGGUUGAAGUAAAAUGCAAGGUAAUAAUACAGCAUGAAAUCCUAGAGCUGAAUAUUGGCAUUUGCAAGGAGGAGUUUUAGGAAGACAUCUGUGGCAGUGGUGUUGAGGAUGAACUGAAGAUGAUCAGCUGGGUGCAGAAGAGAAGAAAAGGGUAGAAAUGGGGGCAAGAGACAAGGAAGGCUGGGCGACGCUGGUGAGAGUGGAAUUUCCCUCCCUGGACUCCCUGAGAAAGGACACUGCGUGAUGGUGACAGACAAUGACUGUUGUCUGUCCUCAGAAUAGCAAACUUUUGCCUACCUCUGUACUUCCAAAGUUUUAGGGAGUGAGAUAAACCAAAUUUAGGUUGCCAACAUUUGUGAAAUGUUAAGAAUUGUCAGAACUCCAUGUGACCAUUAAGAGUUCUCUAAUUUUGUGGAUGGAGACAUAUAUGGCACCAACUGUGGGCAGAGGAGAUAUUGUACCAUCAUCCAUCCAGGUGGCUGGUGGUCCAUGAAGAAGACUUGGUUAGAGUGGAGUAGUUAGUUAAAGGAAUGAUUGAGAGGUUGGAAGGAUAUGAGGGGGGAUUUAAUGGAUGUUGAUCUUGCAUGGUAAGUAGGAAAGUGUGGGAAGUUGCAAAGAAGUUAAAAAUGAGAGAUCAAAAUAUAACUGGAGUGGAG
rnacentral:lncRNA from 1 species